rnacentral:misc_RNA from 1 species
UAAUAAGUGUUUUAUGGCACUUUUUAAAAUCCAUAUCCCACCUUGUGUGCAAUGUCGGUCGAUCUUCUUUUUUUUGAGGAUCGACCAAACAUCAACCUUUAUUUUUUAAACUCUUUGUCUGAAAAAUAUUAUGAAUAAACAAUUCAAAAAUAC